rnacentral:rRNA from 1 species
UACGUAGGGCGCAAGCGUUGUCCGGAAUUAUUGGGCGUAAAGAGCUCGUAGGCGGCCAGUUGCGUCCGCUGUGAAAUCCCGGGGCUUAACCCCGGGCGUGCAGUGGAUACGGGCUGGCUAGAGGCAGGCAGGGGGAGAACGGAAUUCCCGGGUGUAGCGGUGAAAUGCGCAGAUAUCGGGAGGAACACCGGUGGCGAAGGCGGUUCUCUGGGCCUGUACUGACGCUGAGGAGCGAAAGCGUGGGGGAGCAAACAGG